CACAAGGUGUAAACAGUCACUUAAAUUCAGGUUCCUCCUCACCCUGAAAAUAUUUUCAGGGAGUCGUGAAUCUCAUCUGCAAGAACAUGAAUCACCUGUGGUUCUUCCUCUUUCUGGUGGCCGCUCCUACAUGUGUCCUGUCCCAGGUGCAACUGAAGGAGUCAGGACCUGGCCUGGUGAAGCCCUCGCAGACCCUCUCCCUCACCUGCACUGUCUCUGGAUUAUCUUUGAGCAGUUAUGCUGUAGGCUGGGUCCGCCAGGCUCCAGGAAAAGGGCUGGAAUAUGUUGGUGCUAUAUAUGGUAGUGCAAGUGCAAACUACAACCCAGCCCUGAAGUCCCGAGCCAGCAUCACCAAGGACACCUCAAAGAGCCAAGUUUAUCUGACGCUGAACAGCCUGACAGGCGAGGACACGGCCGUCUAUUACUGUGCGAGACACAGUGAGGGGAAGUCAGUGUGAGCCCCGACAAAAACU